rnacentral:rRNA from 1 species
AGAGUUUGAUCCUGGCUCAGGAUGAACGCUGGCGGCGUGCCUAACACAUGCAAGUCGAACGAGAACUCUAGGAUGAGACUUCGGUGGAUUCUUGGAAAUUCUAGUGGCGGACGGGUGAGUAACGCGUGGGUAACCUGCCCUUAAGAGGGGGAUAACAGAGAGAAAUUUCUGCUAAUACUCCAUAUGCUUACAGAGCUGCAUGGCUCAGUGAGGAAAUGAAUUUCGCUUAAGGAUGGACCCGCGUUUGAUUAGCCAGUUGGUGGGGUAACGGCCUACCAAAGCUACGAUCAAUAGCCGGCCUGAGAGGGUGAACGGCCACAUUGGGACUGAGACACGGCCCAAACUCCCACGGGAGGCAGCAGUGGGGAAUAUUGCACAAUGGAGGAAACUCUGAUGCAGCAACGCCGCGUGAGUGAAGAAGUAUUUCGGUAUGUAAAGCUCUAUCGAUGGGAAAUAUAAUGAAGGUACCCAAGUAAGAAGCCCCGGCUAACUACGUGCCAGCAGCCGCGGUAAUACGUAGGGGGCAAGCGUUAUCCGGAUUUACUGGGUGUAAAGGGAGCGUAGAUGGAAAGGCAAGUUUGAAGUGAAAGCCUGCGGCUCAACCGCAGAACUGCUUUGAAAACUGUUUAUCUAGAGUACUGGAGAGGUAAGAGGAAUUUCUAGUGUAGUGGUAAAAUGCGUAGAUAUUAGGAAGAACACCGGAGGCGAAGGCGUCUUACUGGACAGAUACUGACAUUGAGGCUCGAAAGCGUGGGUAGCAAACAGGAUUAGAUACCCUGGUAGUCCACGCUGUAAACGAUGAAUACUAGGUGUUGGACAGCGUAAGCUGAUCAGUGCCGUCGCUAACGCAAUAAGUAUUCCACCUGGGGAGUACGUUCGCAAGAAUGAAACUCAAAGGAAUUGACGGGGACCCGCACAAGCGGUGGAGCAUGUGGUUUAAUUCGAUGCAACGCGAAGAACCUUACCUGGUCUUGACAUCCCAUUGAAUAGUUAUGUAAUGUAAUUAGUCUUCGGACAGUGGAGACAGGUGGUGCAUGGUUGUCGUCAGCUCGUGUCGUGAGAUGUUAGGUUAAGUCCUGCAACGAGCGCAACCCUUAUUGAUAGUAGCCAAUAUUUAGUUAGGCACUCUAUUGAGACUGCCGAGGUUAACUCGGAGGAAGGUGGGGAUGACGUCAAAUCAUCAUGCCCCUUAUGAUCAGGGCUACACACGUGCUACAAUGGCGGAGAACAAAGAGAAGCGAAAGAGUGAUCUGGAGCAAAUCUCAAAAAAGCCGUCUCAGUUCGGAUUGUAGUCUGCAACUCGACUACAUGAAGCUGGAAUCGCUAGUAAUCGCGAAGAAGAGUGUCGCGGUGAAUACGUUCCCGGGUCUUGUACACACCGCCCGUCACACCAUGGGAGUUGGAAAUGCCCAAAGUAGGUGUAGAGCCUCCUAAGGCAGGUCUAAUGAACUGGGGUGAAGUCGUAACAAGGUAGCCGUAUCGGAAGGUGCGGCUGGAUCACCUCCUUUCU